UGCGACACACCAGCUUUCCAAUGAAGCUUCUUUUUCUUCCCCUGGCUCAGACGAUCGGCGCGCGGCGGGCUCCAUCUCUUCCGAUCGAACUCAUCGACACAGCCGCGAGAGAUUUCCCCUCAGCCUCACAUCUCGUCUCUUUUCUCCGACGAAACUCUCAAUCUCUCUCGACUCAAACAUUCGCCGCGGAGGCUGGAGGAAUCAACCUUCUCCGACGAAGACUCGGCCUACGUUGCCGUGAAACCAAGGACGAAGCAAUGCUUCACUUCUGCGGCCUUUUUCUGAUUUGUUUCCGUUGUAGCAAUUCCUAAUGCGGAUGAUGCUACGUUAUUGUUGCUGUGUACAACGAUGAGGAUGAACGAAGCAUUGAUGUGUGAGGUUGAGGCUGCUGAAGUUAGGAAGCGGAUUGAAGUGUGAAGAUGGAAAGUAAUUGCAUCUUUUAUGAUUGAAACGAUGACGAAGAUGAUGAUGAUUCAAAGUUACCGAUGAUCUCGCGGUUGCUGAAGAUCGUUGUCGCUUGCAGUGAAGAGGAUGUGAGGAUUGAUGAGGCAUACGAUUUGCAAUGGAGUGAGGAUUUUCCUUGGAGAAUUCUGAUAUCAGGAUUUUGGAAGAUGAAUGAAGUGUUUGAAGAUAAGUUUGAGGAAUGGUGAAGACCGGAUUUAAUGAAUUCUCAAGAGUGAAGAGGAAGAGAGAAAGAAGAAGUUGUUAAAUUGUGGAGAAUGAAGGUCAAGGAGAUUGAAGAGAGUAUGGUGAGGUUGUGGAUUGAAGAAGUGAUGGAAGAAGGUGAAGGAGAUUGAAGUUGAAGAAGAUGGAUUGUGAGAGAGUGAAGGAAGAGAAUUGAAGAAUGUGGAGAAAGAGAUCGAAAGAUAAAAAUUCAAGAAGUUGGUUCCGGUUCAGUUUUUUGAAGAGAUCGAAAGAUAAAAAUUCAAGAAGUUUGUUCCGGUUCAGUUUUUUGAGAAUUUUGGUUUUCUGUUAGUUGGCUAUUGUUAGGACAGUUGGGAAAUUUGAAUGUGGUAUGGUUGGUUUGGCAUGAGAAUGAACAUGAGUUUUGCAUGAUGGAAUGAAGAUGAAAUCUGGAGGAAAAAUAGGAUCUUGGCAUAAUUUAGUUUUUUGUUUUGGCAUGCUUGGAGAAGAAGAUGACUAGUUUAGGAAUUAGGGCCCUUGGUAGACUUUGUAUAAGUUUGUAUGGAUUGUAAUGAAGUGUAAUGGAUGAUGGAUUUUUGUAAUGACAAUUGAAUUUGUAGCGGGACAUAGCUUGUAACAGACUAUCUUUCCCUUUUUUAUGAAUGGGAUUGAAUUAACGGGAUGAACGGAAUUGAUGUAA